rnacentral:rRNA from 1 species
GGCUCAGAUUGAACGCUGGCGGCAGGCUUAACACAUGCAAGUCGAGCGGAAACGAAGGUAGCUUGCUACCAGGCGUCGAGCGGCGGGCGGGUGAGUAAUGCUUAGGAAUCUACCGAGUAGUGGGGGAUAGCCAUUGGAAACGAUGAUUAAUACCGCAUAUAUCCUACGGGGGAAAGCAGGGGACCUUCGGGCCUUGCGCUAUUCGAUGAGCCUGAGUGAGAUUAGCUAGUUGGUGGGGUAAAGGCCUACCAAGGCGACGAUCUCUAGCUGGUCUGAGAGGAUGAUCAGCCACACUGGGACUGAGACACGGCCCAGACUCCUACGGGAGGCAGCAGUGGGGAAUAUUGCACAAUGGACGAAAGUCUGAUGCAGCCAUGCCGCGUGUGUGAAGAAGGCCUUCGGAUUGUAAAGCACUUUCAGCGAGGAGGAAAGGUCAGUAAGUAAUAUUUGCUGGCUGUGACGUUACUCGCAGAAGAAGCACCGGCUAAUUUAGUGCCAGCAGCCGCGGUAAUACUAAAGGUGCAAGCGUUAAUCGGAAUUACUGGGCGUAAAGCGCGCGUAGGUGGUUUGUUAAGUUGGAUGUGAAAGCCCAGGGCUCAACCUUGGAACUGCAUUCAAAACUGACUCACUAGAGUACGAGAGAGGUUAGUGGAAUUUCCUGUGUAGCGGUGAAAUGCGUAGAGAUGGGAAGGAACACCAGUGGCGAAGCGACUGACUGGCUCGAUACUGACACUG